rnacentral:rRNA from 1 species
GAUGAACGCUGGCGGCGUGCCUAAUACAUGCAAGUCGAACGAGCUCUUCGGAGCUAGUGGCGGACGGGUGAGUAACACGUUGGUACCUACACCGAAGUGGGGAAUAACUGCCCGAAAGGGUGGCUAAUACCGCAUAAUAGCGUAAGGUUAAAGCAGUAAUGCGCUUCGGGAGGGGCCUGCGUCCCAUUAGCUAGUUGGCGGGGUAAAUGCCCACCAAGGCGACGAUGGGUAGCUGGAUCGAGAGGUUGACCAGCCACACUGGGACUGAGAUACGGCCCAGACUCCUACGGGAGGCAGCAGUAAGGAAUCUUCCACAAUGGACGAAAGUCUGAUGGAGCAACGCCGCGUGCAGGAUUAAGGCCUUCGGGUUGUAAACUGCUUUUAUAUAGGAAGAUUAUGACGGUACUAUAUGAAUAAGGACCGGCUAACUACGUGCCAGCCGCCGCCGUAAUAC